rnacentral:rRNA from 1 species
GAUGAACGCUGGCGGCGUGCCUAAUACAUGCAAGUCGAGCGAACAGACGAGGAGCUUGCUCCUCUGACGUUAGCGGCGGACGGGUGAGUAACACGUGGAUAACCUACCUAUAAGACUGGGAUAGCUUCGGGAAACCGGAGCUAAUACCGGAUAAUAUAUUGAACCGCAUGGUUCAAUAGUGAAAGACGGUUUUGCUGUCACUUAUAGAUGGAUCCGCGCCGCAUUAGCUAGUUGGUAAGGUAACGGCUUACCAAGGCGACGAUGCGUAGCCGACCUGAGAGGGUGAUCGGCCACACUGGAACUGAGACACGGUCCAGACUCCUACGGGAGGCAGCAGUAGGGAAUCUUCCGCAAUGGGCGAAAGCCUGACGGAGCAACGCCGCGUGAGUGAUGAAGGUCUUCGGAUCGUAAAGCUCUGUUAUUAGGGAAGAACAAAUGUGUAAGUAACUAUGCACGUCUUGACGGUACCUAAUCAGAAAGCCACGGCUAACUACGUG